GGAAGAAUAAGAAGUACCUUUUGCUUUCAUGGAUCAUAAAACCUGUUUGGGAGUUGGUUUGCAGAGAGGAUGAUUCCAAUUCUGGCUUUGGUUUCCCUUCAACCUGAAGUGUCUCUAACUGGCACAGUCUCCUGAUACUUGGACUGGAGAGCCGCCCUUACUAAAUGUCUGUGACCUUAUUGUCAAGAAAGUCUUGACAAGCAGAAGCUGCUGCCUGGGGGUUGGAAUGUACUACUUCCUGUUCUUUCUCUCCAAGCUGAAGCAUUCUAUCCAAACAAAAACUGAACUUGGUGCACAUGUGACCCAAAGCUAGCUUGAAAUGAAACUCUCUGAAGAUGAAAAACUUUACACAUUAACUCCUGGUUCCACUCCAUCUACUUACAGUGCCUGAGACCACAAAGAGGGCCUUGUAAAAAGAACCAAAAUAAACAAAGGGAUGGCUCAGGCUGUGAACUAAGACAAACAAGCAAUCAACAGCCACAGAUAGCAUCAGAUUAAUUGCUGCUGAUAUCCGACAAAAUGCAAAAAAACUACGACAAUGGCAUAGUACUGUUUAAGUCAACCACCCCACAGCCCUGCCAGGACACUACUCAAUCUUAGGGUAUCUCAAUAUAAGGGAAAUCAGUACUUGAACCCCAACCCAACUUGCAUAUGACCAGAAGGAGCAGAAGAAUCCUAUGUCUUUACUACAAAAAUAUCGUGACAACAGAAUGGACACUCUGUUAGAAAAGCCUGGGAUCUCAUCUUGAUGUUUUCCUUGUAGCCAUGCUCCCAGUUUUUCUAUGAAUAAUUUACUUAAGAUACAACAUGAGCCCUAGC